UCGACUGUUCCUCCCAUCAGAGUGGUUGUGAUGUGGUAACUUGGACUCGUAUCACAGCCAGCUUUGAUGAGCGGAACGGUGCGA